rnacentral:rRNA from 1 species
AUCGAACGCUGGCGGCAGGCCUAACACAUGCAAGUCGAACGGGUGGAGGACGGGCGGACAAUUUCUGGGAACCUGCCUGAUGGAGGGGGAUAACUACUGGAAACGGUAGCUAAUACCGCAUACCACCCUUUCUGCCCACAGUGGAUUAGCUGGUUGGUGGGGUAACGGCUCACCAAGGCGACGAUCCCUAGCUGGGCUGAGAGGCUGACCAGCCACACUGGAACUGAGACACGGUCCAGACUCCUACGGGAGGCAGCAGUGGGGAAUAUUUCACAAUGGGCGCAAGUCUGAUGCAGCCAUGCCGCGUGUAUGAAGAAGGCCUUCGGGUUGUAAAGUACUUUCAGCGGGGAGGCGUUACCCGCAGAAGAAGCACCGGCUAACUCCGUGCCAGCAGCCGCGGUAAUUC